UACGUAGGGUGCGAGCGUUGUCCGGAAUUAUUGGGCGUAAAGGGCUCGUAGGCGGUUUGUCGCGUCGGGAGUGAAAACCCAGGGCUUAACUCUGGGCUGGCUUCCGAUACGGGCAGACUAGAGGUAUGCAGGGGAGAACGGAAUUCCUGGUGUAGCGGUGAAAUGCGCAGAUAUCAGGAGGAACACCGGUGGCGAAGGCGGUUCUCUGGGCAUUACCUGACGCUGAGGAGCGAAAGUGUGGGGAGCGAACAGG
rnacentral:rRNA from 1 species